ensembl:lncRNA
GUUAUGGCCCAGACUUUGUAUAAGGGACUUUUAAAGUGUGACUUUGUUAAAAGUUGUUCUAAAUUCAACUAAAGAUGGUAGAUAUCUCUAAAGAUCAGACAGAAAGGUUUUUGAAAUACACACACAAACCUGUAUCGUGUGUAUAGUGGCUGUAUCAUGAAGAUAUAGGAUGAUUCAGUGUAGACAGCAUGGUGGAGAAACCCUGGUAUAAGGUAUAGGUAUGAACUUUUUGUUUUCCCUAUAGAAAAUAACUCAAUCUGUGAGCUUUAUAUUUAUACAUUAAAGACACUUUUAUCAAAUAUUGAGUGGAUUAUCUGGUUUUUUUUUCUUUCUUGUAUGUAACAUUUUCUUAUGUGACAUAUAAGUGGAAAUUUCUUCCUUUUUUUGCCAUCCAUCCAUCCAUUUGCUUCCGCUUAUCCUUUCCAGGGUCACGGGGAGCACCCCCCUUUUUUUGCCCGUCUUCUGGAUAUUAUGUUGAGUUUUGUGUCCCAUUCCAGUUGAGGUCUUUAUUUUGUGUAUUUUUUUAACAUAAAAGCUGGGAAUAUGUGGGACAAGCAGGUGGAUGAACUCCAGAGGCAGGUGAGUGGUCAGAGAGCGUGUCUGUAGACAAGUCUGUUAAACGAGGAAUGUGUCUCUUUGAUCCCUAGAUUUUGGUUUGAUCUGUUGGGUUGGGCUGAUCCGCUCUUCUCUCAUCCAAGGGGCCUCUCAGAUCUUAUUGAUAUAUAGGUCUAACCUGCCUGUCAGGAUGAUCAAAUAAUAUAAUCUGCAUGGAUCCCCAAACAAACCCAAAUUCAUAAUCCUGUACUAACUCUGAAUGAUAUUUAGCCUAAAUCCUUUGCAAACAGCUUUCCAAACUGAACACAAACAACAUUUGGUCUUUGUCCUUUCAUAGGGGGUUUUAGUUCUUCACUGAAUCGGUGAAGAACUAAAUUUGUGAUGUAUCUUGAGUUUGACUGACAAAUUCAUUAGCUUUGAAUAGCUGAAAUAAGUACAAAACAAAUUUCUGCUGAAGGUCAUAAUUUUU